UCUGACGACCAUAGCAAGUCGGUCCCACCCCUUCCCAUCCCGAACAGGGCCGUGAAACGACUCCGCGCCGAUGAUAUUGCACACCCCGUGUGAGAAAGUAGGUCAUCGUCAGAC
rnacentral:rRNA from 1 species